CUGAGAGUGGAGACGGUGCCUCCAUGGUGGAAUAAAGUCCUUCGCCCUCCUCUCUACCUUGCCAUCAAGCGCUCUGGUGAUGGCGACGGGGUUAUAAGGUUAGGGUCCGCCGGAUUUGGUGACCGAGUUAGAGCUCCAAAUCUGGCCGGAUCUUGUAUAGGAGUUGUUCGCCGUUCGUUGUUGGCGGCGGCACAUCACAGAAGGACGAUGGACGGGUUGGUGUAUGCGUGGCGGAGGAGCUGGUGCCCGGUCACGCCUCGCCGGCAACGGGUACAGCCCCUGAACCGGAGAGUCUUGGGGUGCGUCCCCGGCCGAUGUUCUUCCUUGCGAAGGAUGACGACGAACGGCGCCUGGCGGCACAAAAGUUCCAAAGGGCCUUGUUAUAAUUUUUCUUUUUGUAUGGACUUUUGUGUACACCUUUCCCUUUUGUACACCUCGAGAAGGUGUUGUGGUCUUGUACACGUGCUACGCUGUUCGAUUUAAUACA